UCAUCCCCUCUGCACUCUUCCACCUGACAGCUGAGUUGCAAACUGAAAGUGACGUUGAUGCUGCCUGCCUUUUCUCCAUCCCAUCGCCGUGCAAGGAUGGAUACUGGACGAAGUUCAUCAAUUCACUCUGCCAUUCAACAGAGAGGUAAAUGGCUGAAGAUAGAAGAUAGAAGACGAUAGAUUUUACAUCCAGCCCAAGAGGAUUUGACUAUUCCAUUGAGCAGGCUCGGGUCAGCUAAGUCCUUCU
rnacentral:lncRNA from 1 species